rnacentral:rRNA from 1 species
UACAGGGGGGGCAAGCGUUGUUCGGAAUUACUGGGCGUAAAGGGCCAGUAGGCGGCCAACUAAGUCCGACGUGAAAUCCCCAGGCUUAACCUGGGAACUGCGUCGGAUACUGGAUGGCUUGAAUUCGGGAGAGGGAUGCAGAAUUCCAGGUGUAGCGGUGAAAUGCGUAGAUAUCUGGAGGAAUACCGGUGGCGAAGGCGGCAUCCUGGACCGACACUGACGCUGAGGAGCGAAAGCCAGGGGAGCAAACGGG